CGGUUGAGAGGGCUGCAUGUGCGGUCCGCUGAACGAAAGUUCACUCGGCUG
rnacentral:ncRNA from 1 species